rnacentral:rRNA from 1 species
UGAACGCUGGCGGCGUGCCUAAUACAUGCAAGUCGAGCGAACGGACGAGAAGCUUGCUUCUCUGAUGUUAGCGGCGGACGGGUGAGUAACACGUGGAUAACCUACCUAUAAGACUGGGAUAACUUCGGGAAACCGGAGCUAAUACCGGAUAAUAUUUUGAACCGCAUGGUUCAAAAGUGAAAGACGGUCUUGCUGUCACUUAUAGAUGGAUCCGCGCUGCAUUAGCUAGUUGGUAAGGUAACGGCUUACCAAGGCAACGAUGCAUAGCCGACCUGAGAGGGUGAUCGGCCACACUGGAACUGAGACACGGUCCAGACUCCUACGGGAGGCAGCAGUAGGGAAUCUUCCGCAAUGGGCGAAAGCCUGACGGAGCAACGCCGCGUGAGUGAUGAAGGUCUUCGGAUCGUAAAACUCUGUUAUUAGGGAAGAACAUAUGUGUAAGUAACUGUGCACAUCUUGACGGUACCUAAUCAGAAAGCCACGGCUAACUACGUGCCAGCAGCCGCGGUAAUACGUAGGUGGCAAGCGUUAUCCGGAAUUAUUGGGCGUAAAGCGCGCGUAGGCGGUUUUUUAAGUCUGAUGUGAAAGCCCACGGCUCAACCGUGGAGGGUCAUUGGAAACUGGAAAACUUGAGUGCAGAAGAGGAAAGUGGAAGUCCAUGUGUAGCGGUGAAAUGCGCAGAGAUAUGGAGGAACACCAGUGGGCGAAGGCGACUUUCUGGUCUGUAACUGACGCUGAUGUGCGAAAGCGUGGGGAUCAAACAGGAUUAGAUACCCUGGUAGUCCACGCCGUAAACGAUGAGUGCUAAGUGUUAGGGGGUUUCCGCCCCUUAGUGCUGCAGCUAACGCAUUAAGCACUCCGCCUGGGGAGUACGACCGCAAGGUUGAAACUCAAAGGAAUUGACGGGGACCCGCACAAGCGGUGGAGCAUGUGGUUUAAUUCGAAGCAACGCGAAGAACCUUACCAAAUCUUGACAUCCUUUGACAACUCUAGAGAUAGAGCCUUCCCCUUCGGGGGACAAAGUGACAGGUGGUGCAUGGUUGUCGUCAGCUCGUGUCGUGAGAUGUUGGGUUAAGUCCCGCAACGAGCGCAACCCUUAAGCUUAGUUGCCAUCAUUAAGUUGGGCACUCUAAGUUGACUGCCGGUGACAAACCGGAGGAAGGUGGGGAUGACGUCAAAUCAUCAUGCCCCUUAUGAUUUGGGCUACACACGUGCUACAAUGGACAAUACAAAGGGCAGCGAAACCGCGAGGUCAAGCAAAUCCCAUAAAGUUGUUCUCAGUUCGGAUUGUAGUCUGCAACUCGACUACAUGAAGCUGGAAUCGCUAGUAAUCGUAGAUCAGCAUGCUACGGUGAAUACGUUCCCGGGUCU